AUUAUACACUUGUGAAUUGUGAUUUAGAUAGAAAAAUGAUCGUUUGUGUGCCUAGAUUAUUAAUGAACUCUUUUUUAUUUGAAAAGAACAAAUGACAAAGCGUAUUGAUUGUGUGAAAAAUGUUAAAAUUUCCUAACUAGUAUUACUCAUUUUACUUUACAUCUCACUAACAAAACGAAAAUGAGUUUUAACAAAACUAUAAUAAUAGAAUGUAACUCUACAUUUACCAACCGCUA
rnacentral:lncRNA from 1 species